rnacentral:rRNA from 1 species
ACACAUGCAAGUCGAGGGGCAGCAUGAUUGAAGCUUGCUUCAAUUGAUGGCGACCGGCGCACGGGUGAGUAACGCGUAUCCAACCUUCCGUACACUCAGGGAUAGCCUUUCGAAAGAAAGAUUAAUACCUGAUGGUAUGAUGAGAUUGCAUGAUAGCAUCAUUAAAGAUUUAUCGGUGUACGAUGGGGAUGCGUUCCAUUAGGUAGUAGGCGGGGUAACGGCCCACCUAGCCUACGAUGGAUAGGGGUUCUGAGAGGAAGGUCCCCCACAUUGGAACUGAGACACGGUCCAAACUCCUACGGGAGGCAGCAGUGAGGAAUAUUGGUCAAUGGACGAGAGUCUGAACCAGCCAAGUAGCGUGAAGGAUGAAGGUCUUACGGAUUGUAAACUUCUUUUAUAAGGGAAUAAAACCUCCCACGUGUGGGAGCUUGUAUGUACCUUAUGAAUAAGCAUCGGCUAACUCCGUGCCAGCAGCCGCGGUAAUACGGAGGAUGCGAGCGUUAUCCGGAUUUAUUGGGUUUAAAGGGAGCGCAGACGGGUCGUUAAGUCAGCUGUGAAAGUUUGGGGCUCAACCUUAAAAUUGCAGUUGAUACUGGCGUCCUUGAGUGCGGUUGAGGUGUGCGGAAUUCGUGGUGUAGCGGUGAAAUGCUUAGAUAUCACGAAGAACUCCGAUUGCGAAGGCAGCACACUAAGCCGUAACUGACGUUCAUGCUCGAAAGUGUGGGUAUCAAACAGGAUUAGAUACCCUGGUAGUCCACACGGUAAACGAUGGAUACUCGCUGUUGGCGAUAUACGGUCAGCGGCUUA